rnacentral:tRNA from 1 species
CGGAGCAUAGCUCAGCCCGGUAGAGCACAGCCUUCGGGAGGCUGGGGUCGGAGGUUCGAAUCCUCUUGCUCCGACCA